rnacentral:lncRNA from 1 species
UCAAAUAAAACCAAUGAAUUUUUUGUCUACGACAAUGAACUUAGCACGGCCUACUACAAAAGAAUAGACACGAAACUUUCCUUUCGUUUUGAUAAGCUGAUUAGCAACAACCAAGUAAUUUACACGGAUCAGAAAACAUGUAUACUUAUGAAGUCAGAAGAACUUGGCCACCAAGUCUGGGUGCAGACGGACUACUUACUGAAGUAUCAUACGAUACCUUACAUAUGUACGCUGUUUUACGAAGCCUGCGCUGGAAGGACAAAA